rnacentral:rRNA from 1 species
CCUACGGGAGGCAGCAGUGAGGAAUAUUGGUCAAUGGUCGGGAGACUGAACCAGCCAAGCCGCGUGAGGGAGGAAGGUACAGAGUAUCGUAAACCUCUUUUGUCAGGGAACAAAGACUGGGACGCGUCCCCGGAUGAGUGUCACUGAAGAAAAAGCAUCGGCUAACUCCGUGCCAGCAGCCGCGGUAAUACGGAGGAUGCGAGCGUUAUCCGGAGUGAUUGGGUUUAAAGGGUGCGCAGGCGGUCUGUUACGGCAGCGGUCAAAGCCCGGGGCCAAACCCCGGCCCGCCGUUGAAACUGGCAGUCGCGAGUUGGAGAGAAGUAUGCGGAAUGCGCGGUGUAGCGGUGAAAUGCAUAGAUAUCGGGCAGAACUCCGAUUGCGAAGGCAGCAUGCCGGCUCCACACUGACGCUGAGGCACGAAAGCGUGGGUAUCGAACAGGAUUAGAUACCCUAGUAGUC